GGCAGCGUGGCUAAGUGGAAAGAGCACGGGCUUGGGAGUCAGAGGUCAUGGGUUCAAAUUCCGACUCUGCCA
rnacentral:tRNA from 1 species